CGGACGUGGCUGGUCGCGCCAGGCGGUGCCAAGCACCCCUGGCAGCCCUGGAGAGGUUUCCCAAAUCCCGAUCUUAUUUUGCAAUCUGGGCGAUGCUUUGACAACUGCCUGGCUGACGGGACUGAUAAGCUGUACUGGUGCUUCGCAGGAAAGCCACGUUGCAAGCAUGAAACUCUCAUGGCUGGGAAUCUGCUGAUGCUGUGACAAAGGGAGCACCGGCGGAAAACCUUUCUCAGGAGGCUGUGCACGAUAAUUAAACCUUGGGGGCUCAGAGAUUUUGGACUCGAGCUUAGAGAAAAACUACACCGAAGACCCGUCCCUCCUAAUCUCCAACUGCUUGCUGUGGGAAUUUUCUUUAGUUACACAUGGCUUCACAGGCAUGAAAAAUUGGACAAAGCGAAGUUAAGUAGCCAGCCCGGGACCACAGAUUUUGCAUGUGAGACCUGGAUUCAAAACGAGCUCUGCUGCUCCCAGAAUACACGCCUUCAACCACAAGACCCUAUUGCUCCCUGAGUUUCACCUGCUGCUUUAUGUCACCUUUGCACUCCAUUUUAGUGUCCUUUCCUCAAGAAAAAAAAUGAAACUCUUGCUCAGCCUCUGGUCAGCCUCGGGUUUGAGGUCUGCCUGUGAACGAUGUCACGUUUCCCCAUGGGGGCCCCUGAAUUUACAAUGAACAGUUACUUAGUUUCUGAAAUAAUCACGUGCAGUUGCUGUGCCUCUGGGAAAGAAGGAAAGGCCCACGUAUCAAAAAACUGUUUUCAAAUAUACAUCUGGGAUCAUCAUUAAGCAUCUCUCAGGAGAAGUCUACAUGUCCAAGGAUUGUUGCUUCAUCAAUAAAGUGGUAGAAUUGGGUCCUCAAAAUGAUUUCUGGGUUGGAAGGGCCUUAUAGAAGUGGAUUCUAUAAGUGGAUUAUAAGAAGUGGAUUCUAUAAAAUUCAGUGUGGAUUCUCCAGGCUGUUGUUUCUCUAGGCCCAGUUCCCCAGAAGCAGAGAAGAAAGUGUCUAUCUCACAACAUGCUCCUUAUGAAGGAUUUCCAACCUUCCUUUCCAAUGAAGUGAGUAUCAUCUUCAAAACGUGUGAAGUCUGGAAGGCAAGAGACCCCAGUUUCCACCCUGGCCUUCCCUUUUCCUAGCAACACGGCUUAAGGCAGUUUGUCGAAUCUGCCUCAGUAUCCUCAAGCAUCGCUAAGUUCAUUUCCGCUUUGACAAGUCCACUAGGAAACCUCUGGCGUACAAGAGAGAUGUGGUGUCAGAACACAAGAAGCAAACUGAACACGGUGCAUCCUAUUUAUUCUUUCUUUGCUUUCGUGGAAUGAAGACUAGCUGAAUACUCCGUCGUGCUUUUCAGUGGCUCCAUACUGAGAGCCCCAGGAGAGAGCACAAUCUGGAGAUGGCUGGAUAUUGGGACAGAAUUCUACGAGCUCUACUAGCAGUAGCACCCGCUUGAGUUCCUGGGAGACGUUCACGAGGAUGCUGGGAGUAACAGAUUGACCCUAGAAUGCCAGGGCAGAGGGGAAGUCACCUGGAGACAUUGGAGACAAAGGCUCUGGGCUCCUUUCUGAGGCUCUGACUCGACGGAAAGGAAAACCACUUUGACUAAAGCACAGGGAAUGGUGGCUCUAAUUUCAGGUUUCUUGGCAGAAGAUAUUGCAAACUAAAACAGUUGGAUCACUUGUUUUGGGGGGAAGCCAGUUGCCAGGUUGAGCAACCCUAAGGAAAGGCUCACACGCCAUGGAACUGAGGUUUCUGGACACCUACCAGCAAUGAGCUGCUGCCUCCCGCCUCCAGUCACGUUACUGGAUUCUCUAAUAUUUACCAGCAAAAAUUGACAGCCUUUCUUCACACUCCUUCUGCAGCCAUCAAACAAGAUUCCACAUGUCAGAUGUAAGGGGCAGAAUUUUGCUGGACAUCACAUAAAGUUGACUGUAAAUGGAGUUUCUGCGAAUUGCUGAUGUGAUUUGUGCAGUUUCCAGAGAUGAACACUGAAAGGAAUGGAGAAGCUGGCUGCACACUCACUAACCCUGAAGGGCCCUUGAGUUGCCAGGCCUGGAGGUUCAGGCCCCAAAUGUCUUUCCAAUGUAGAGAUGUUCUACAUUGUUCAUGCUUAUUUUCUUUGCCUCUGCUUAUUUUCUUUUCUGUACUUUUUUUUUUUUUGACAAAGCAAUGCGAACACAUUUGCAAAAACAGGAAUCUUCAAACCUUUCUAAACCAGUUCAGUGUCCUAAGUGAACAAAAAAUUUUAAAAUAUUCUUGUCCACAUGUUCAUGAGCAGUAGUCAACAUUAAACAGAUCUUAUAAGCAGUAAUAAAUAUAGUUUGAAAAUGUAUUGAGUUCUUCCUGUGGGCCAGCCAAUGAACUAAAUGCUCUCAUUAGAUUGCCUUAUCUAGUCUUUAAAAUAAUGCUCUGUAUGAGGCACACAUUAUCCCCAUUUUGCUUACAAACUCAUAGAGGUGCAGUAAGUUGCAGGUACAUGGUGAAGCUGGGACUUAAACCAUGUCUGUGAGACUCUGAGCUCUGGAUCUUUACCACUUUGCUAUAUUAAGAAUCUCAGAUCUGGAAAGGCACCGAGGUCUCUUUCCAGCCAACUUCAUUGGACAGAUGGGAGAACUGUGGCUCACGCAGCUAGUUGAGGGCAAGCCAAGCUUAGAAACCAGAUUUCCUGCUGCCCAGUCCAAUACUCUUUUAAUUACAAUGUGCUGCCAAAAAAAAUUUUGUAGGGUCACUUCUGUCCAUUUAUCUGUCCAUUCUUAAUAAAGGAUGGUUUUCUUGUGGAGUCCGAAACAUUUAAACGUCCCUGUGUAGGUCACUGAUUGAAAAUGUCAUUCCAUUGAAAAUGCCUCGAAGGACCAUACAUGGAUUUCCAGCAGGGAAGGGUUAAAGUUGCAGGGAUUUUGCAGGCUGGAUCAAAUGUUCUUGAGAGGCCUUUCUUCAUAUCAUGUUUCUUUAGCACUAGGAUAGGGCGAGUAAUCAAAGGUGACAAGCUUUCUUGUCUGGUCCCACUAUCAGUCCGCGGUAGCCCACAAGCACAUUGAUCUGCAGUGGCAGCUGCUGUUAGCCCCUGAUGCAGAGGCCCUAGGCCACCCAGGGCUUCUUCGUGUUAUUGGAAGGAAGGAAGUAACCAAUGUGCCACUAUGAGAGAGUGAAGGCAAAAAGUUUUCUCUACCAACAUGAGACUAAAUCACCUUUAGUUCUUGCAUAAUUGUGAUUAAGGUUCAAUCUGCUUUAGUGACUCAUCUCUGAUACUUGGAUACAGCAGUGCAAUCUCAUUUUAUGGUUGCUGGCCUAUUUGGAUUUUUUGGUUUGCUGCAAUCUGCUGAGGCUUUGGGAAGCUGGAGGCGUUCAAGUAGGAGCAUGUAAUAAAUUAAGCGCUGUGUGAUAAAAGGUUGCUCUGUCUGUGGGGGCAGUGGGUAGCACAGAAUUUACAAAAACCUUUCUCUUCUAGAUUCUCUUGGAUUCUAAGCUACUUUUUGGAGUAGAAGUCAACCAAAGGGAAGGGGGAGAAAAAGGAAUCUACAAUAAUUUGUGCAUCUGCUAUGGGUCAGGCCCUUUACCCACCUGAUCAUCUUUAAAUACUUUCAACUACCUUACAUAAGAGGUGAUGUUUAUCACCAUUAACAUAAGGGGUAUAUGAAUCUGGGAGAGAUUAGCCAACUUGCCAAAGUCAUACACCACAUCAUGUGGAAAGAGUUGGAAAUGGAGGGACCAUGAAGUAGAAUAUAAGAAUGGUCAAGGUCAUUGGCUUCCUGGUGUGGUAUGUCUCAAUCCUUGAGGCUUUCUGCAAGAUGGCUUUGAAUAAGACUGGGUUUUCAUAUUUUGUGUAGGAUUCCUUAAUCUAAGACUCUUGCCCCCAUAAGUCUGGUUUUAUUUCAGUCUCAAACUCUUGCGACAUUGGGAAAUGUCUUACAUUUAUGUCAGGUAUUGUCUAGUCAUUUAAUGAACACUCAGAGAUGAAGAUGAGUAAUCAAUGAGAAUUGUCAGAAGGCAAGUAGUGAGUUACUUUAAGAUACACUUUGACUAGAGUCACUGUAGUUUGGCUUGAUCAGUCAUGACUGACCUGCUCAAUGAACUUUGGUUUGUAAAAUUCAUGGACCUGCGUUGUAGCAUCUGAUCCCUUUUUCUCCACUUUGAUAUCAGGCUUCUUUUCACUAUCCUAGGACUUGGUCACAUUCUAAUUUCUGAUUUGCUCUUCUAAGAGCACUUAGGCUAUUCUGUGCUAUGUUUGUCACUAUCUUCAAAAUCUCAGUCACUGUGUGAGCGUAUAGUGAUCUCUUGUCUAGAAUCUAGCUCCUGCCCCCUCUCUGCUAAGUCUUCCCAUGCAAUGGUGUGACCAAAAAAUAUGCCUGUCUAGAUCAAAGUGUGAAUUCUAUAUUUGCCUAUAAUUAACAUGGGUCAUUCUUUGUUGUAGAAGGUGCUUUGAUUUAUAUAAAAGGUUGCAGAAAGCUAAGAAAUUGGUUUAAAAAGAAGCAAGAAAAAGUAUUGAUUCCUGGAAUGAAAGACUUGUCAAUUUCUUGCCAAAGCAAACCCUUCAUUUGAAAUCAAGUUAUAUCUAAUUUUGAAGGAGUGGAUAGAUGUCUCGUGGUAUUUCCUAUUGUCAUAUCAUACAUGACACAUAUAGAUACGAGUUAUUGUUUUCAGCCACAUUUAUAUUAAAAGAGAGUUAACUAAAUGAGUAGAAUCAAGUGUAAUUAGUUUUACCUAAAUUGUAGGUUUUCAGAGCAAUUAAUAAAACUGAAAGAUGAAAGCUGCUUGUUAAGCAAAGCAAAGAUCAAGGAAUAUAUUUCCUUUAUUGAAUGUCACUCGUAAGCAAACCAACCUACACAAAUCAUUUUCAUGUUUGAAUAUAGCAAAUAUGCAAUCGGAAUAUUCAGCAGUAGCAGCAACUCAGGCAAUUCAUGAAAUGUCUCAGCUCCUGUCUAUAACAUAUACUUUCCACUUCUAAUUCCUGUUCUUAUCCCUGAGCAAGCAGGAGGCAUGGCCGUCAGACACAUGGUGUCUGGAAUCAGAACAGACCUAGAUUUGACUCUAAACUCUGUUCUUCACUAGGUCAGGGGGCACAAACCCGUACCAUUUUCAGCCAUGUUUCCUUCAGCUGUCAAAAUGGAAUUAAGGUCUACGGCUUUAGUUUCCUGGCUGCUAAAUCAAAUGCCAUGCAAUGGGUUAGCCUAAACAAUGGGAAUUUAUUGGCUCAUGGUUUUGAGGCUAAGGGAAGUCCAAAUUCAAGACAUCAUCAAAGCAAUGCUUUCUCACAGAAGACUGUGGUAUCCUGGGGCUGGCUACGGGAGAUAUUGUUCCUUCACUCCUCUGUCAUGUGAUGGUGGCCUUUCCUGGCUUCUCCUUUAUCUUUCAGGUUCCAUUUAUUUUCACCUUCUGGCUGCUCCCUCUGUCUUUCUUUCUGUCUUUCUGUGACCUUCCGUACAAAGCCUUCAGAAAUAGCAUUAUGAUCCAUCCUGAUUUGGCUGCGUCACCCUUAACUAAAGGAAACUUCAAAAGUUCCUAUUUGCAAGGUUUCACACCCAUAGGAAUGGAUUAAGUUUAUUAGUAUGUUUCUCUGGUAUACAUAAUAGUUCCAAGCCACUACAUCUACCUAAUAGGGUAAGUGAAAUUCUUUUGAAAUCAUAUCAAAAGUAUUUGGCAAACUGCUUUUCCCAUGGCUUAAAUUCCAUAAAUGUUAUUUACUAUUAUAUUCACAUAUUCACUGCCUUGGCUUAAAGAAAGCUUUGAAACUGUUUGUGAGGUGACUUUUUUUUUUUUUUUUUUUUUGAGACAAGUUAUGGUUACAUUACCUUUUACAUAGAAUUUAUAUGUCCAUCCUGUUGUGCCAAAAAAAAAUGUUUAUAUAUCUAACAUACAUCUCUACAGAGGGGAAGGGGUGUAAAUGACAAGACACUUUCUUGUUUGUUUCCAGGUUUUAUUUGUAAAAUGAAGGGUCCCUUAGCUCUUCUUAAUAAUAAUAAGAACCUCUUCAGAGAAAGGGCCCUUAGAACAGAGUCCUGCUGUGAGUUGUGCCCAAGAGAAUUAUUCCUGUAAGCACCAAAAGUGCUUUGUGAAAAAAUUUUUACCUCCAAAGCUUUGUGCAAUUUGGAACCCAAAGAUGACUUUCCAGAGAGGCCUUAUUAUAUAGGCACAAGCCCGGGGGAUAGAAAAAAUCAUGAAACAACCUCCAUAAUUUAACUCACAUGUAUGUGAUACUCUCAAACAUUCAAAGCAUCUUCAUAUUUACCUAAGUUGAUCUCACAACAUCCUUGUAAGGGAAAUUAGGCACAUAACAAUGGCCAUUUAAUAGAUAAUGGCACUGAAAUAUGAGGUCAUAAGCCUGUUAAAUUGAGAGCAUGGAAUAAAUACAUGAAACUCACCCUCUGAAGAUGUAUUUAGACAUUCUGUUAGAAACCGCUUAGCAUCUCUUUAACAAUAAGUACACAGACGACUCAUUUUUUAAAAAAUAGUCUGUAAAAAUUCCAAGAAAGCUAGUGGUAUGACUAGUUUUCCGGAAGUCAAUGGGAUCUCCAGCUGUGGCCCAGAGAUUAAAUGAUGGGUGACUCUUUGGUUGAAAAAACACUGGGUCUCCAGGAAGAAAGAAUAUAAAACAUGUUGGAAAAGCCAGUCCAACAAGGAUAUUGGAAAGUAUAAUUUUCAAGGAAGGAGUAAAGAUUUCUCCUUGAAUGCUACCAAAGGGAAAGUUUGACAUACUUUAUUUAGACUGUAAAUAAAUAUACAGUAAUUAUAUAGGGACUUCCAAAAUAGACAGAGACUGUUUCUGACAGUGGGAUAAAAUGGAAAGAAUGCAGAACUUCAGAGCCAGAGUGGUUUAAAUCUUGGCUCCUGACCUAAAUAGCCCUUUGUCUUAGGUAUGUUCACUUUUCUCUAUGACUAACCACAAAAUGAGGACAUUGACUUCUUUAUGGUGUCUUCAGGAAGAUUGAAUGAGAUGUAGUAGGCCAACUAUCCAGUUCUGGCCCUGGCAUAAUGAAUCCACCAUAAAUGUUAUUCCUACUUGGAGCAUAGUAGAAAUGUUCAAAUCCAUCAGUAAAGAAAUAUUUUCCAUAAUGCCUAAAUAAGGCUUUAAAAAAAAAAAUUGUAAAGAAACAAUAACAACAACACUUGUACAAAUAAGCAUACAAAACUUAAUAUGAACCCAAGGAAAAAAAUAUAUCAAAUAACAUACAGAGCAACCAUAUAUAUGAGACCAGAUAUGAGGAACAUAUGGAUAAGAAUUUGCUUAAAAUACACAUGGGCUUAGGAAAAAAAGAGAGAAAAAAAAUUGCUGGCAAAAACGUGUUUGGGCAUUGUGCCAAAUUUGAAAACAUUUGAAUAAAUAGAGUUGAGAAAAAGUAAAGAAUGGUUUCUCUUAUUCACUUGGAUAGUUGUGAAAAGAGAAUUGUAGCAUGUAGAUCAAUAAUCCUUAUCAUGAACUCACAGGCAUUUUGGGAAGACCUAGACAAAGGACACUACCAUCUGGAGUUUGCUGUUUUGGCUUUAAAAAUAAGACCCUUUCUGGAUAAUAUUACUGUUGUGUAGUACGAAGCACUCCACUCAAUGUUAGUAAAUAGGAUGCAUCUUUUGAUUCAGUUUCAGCUUGAACUUCACCAAGAGGAAGGAACAUAUUACACAUGUAAGAUAAAAGCCUGUAUUUUUUGAGUCUGUAAAAGAAUUUGGGAAUUGGUAGUUAAUGCUUAAUUGUUGCAGAGUUUCUCUUUAGGGUGACAGAAAAUUUCAGUAAUGGGUGGUAGUUAUGGUAGCACACAUUCUGAUUUUAAUUAACACACUGGAAUUGUACAUUUGAAUAUAAUUUAAAGAACUUUUAGGUUAUGUAUAUAUAUAUAUAUGUCCCUAGAAUAAGAAAAUUAAAAAGAAAACAACAUAGGAAUAUACAAUAUGAACAUUGAGCCCUGAUGUAAACUGUGGACUAUAGUUAAUAAUAUAAUUAUAAUAAUAUUGUUUCAUCAAUUGUAAUAAGGGUACCACACUAACGCAAAGUUUUAAUAUCAGGAAAACUGUGUGUGUUUGCAUGUAUGUGUAGAAGGGGUGCAUGUGGGAACUCCGUAUUUUCUGCAUGCUUUUUUUUUUAGUAUAAACCUGUAACAUUAAUGAAAAAAAAAAAAAUAAAUCCCUCUCAAAAAAUAGAAUUUGAGAGAUGCUUCCAGAAUGCAAAUUUGUGCCACAUCCUUUUGUCAAUUCCACUAUUCCUCUUUUCAUUUUCAUACACUCGUUAUGCCUAAACAUAGGAAUAAACAUUCUUUUUUUUUGGUAACCAGCACAACGAGAUUGUUUAAAUAAAUACAAUCAUCCAAAACAUUUGAUCCCGAGUUCAUGGCUCUAUUUCAAAUAAAACAUAUACAUUAAUACUAACACUUUCAGUUAAAUACACAUAGACAUCCAGAUUAGAAUAAAUUUUCAACCAUGUUUUGCAGUAUGUAGUCAAUGGUAAAAAAGAUCUUCCGCAUAAAAAAAGACAAUUAUAUUCUCACUCUCAAGAGAAUUCAUCCUUUAUUUCUUAACCCCCAUACCCCCAUCCUCAGAUCCCUUCAUAAGACACGGACCUGAAAUUUCCAAGUUUGAACACCAUUUCUGAAAUCAAAGGAAAUGUGCCCCUAUUGCUUAGCACGCUGCUUCUGCUUCAAUUCCCCUGUUCCUCAACUAAUACAUCUGGAGUGAGCAUCUACUCUGUGGAGUGCACUGGGCUCUUUGGGUCUGCAGUUUAUAGGCAAGAGUCACAGACUCUGCUUUGAGAAGCCAACCACUUGGGAAGGUGCCUUAUACUGUGACGGAGCUUUCUCUGUGGCAUGAGCAAUGUUGAGGCAACAGACUUGUGUUUCCUCGGUCACAGCCUACGGAACCUCACGCAAGGACAAAUCAAAACCAAAGGGAAGUAAAGGUCAAUGCAAAUGAACCAAUAUCCUGCACAGUCCCCACCCCUGCUUCUUGGGGCACCAGUCUGUAAGGUACAUUGGCCUGUUUCCUUGAGAAAGAAACAUUUUUGCUAGCAAUGCAAGUUUUAACGUGUUUCCCCCAGUUUCUCUGAGGAAUAAACUCACCUAAUACUCACGUCCUUUCAUGGUGAAGGACUAAGUGCUGUCUAUAUUCUUUUUAUGAUUCAGCCAAGUUGGUCAGUACUUUCUAAAUACUUGAUACUUCCUCCAACUCUGUAUCUUAGCUCAUUCUUUUCACACAGCAUAUUCUCUCUCUGAAGCCAACCAGUUCUUGAUGUCCGGAACAGCCACACCAGGAAAUCUCAUUUCGGCUUCUGAACGCCUUGAGAACCUCGCAGGUACUUUUCAGGAAGGAAGUCUUGGGUUUGAUCCGGUUCCUUCAUCUUCUUAUUGAUGACCUUGGGUGAGUUAAUUAAUCUCAUUAACCCUUAAUUUUCCUCACUUGUAAAAUGGGAAAAAAACGCUUUUUCCUGAGGGGUACCAUAAAUAAGGCCACCUAAGAUACCGAGCAAAAUGUCUAGCACAUACUACGUGCAAAUCUAGCUUUAUUUUCUAUACCUCUUCAUGGAUUCUUUCCUAUCUAUACUUAGUCACGCUUGUGUUUCUGUUUUACCUCAACUGAAUAGACAGCUCCUCGAGAACCAAGACUCCCUCUUUCCUUGCGUCUUUUCUACCACUGUGGUCUUAAAACAAUGCCAUAAAAGGCAAUGCAAACAUAGUACAUAUAUCAUGUAUAGUUUCAUCCUUUCCAUUUCUUUUGUACAAAACUUACAAAACUCAAUUUUUUCAGUUCAGUUGAUUUUCCAACUGCCCAGAAGUGUCAUCAUGCUAUGUACUGAAAGUAAAUGCUAAAAUGUUUGUUUCUGAUUUUUAUGGGAAAAAAAAAUUGUUUCCGUAUGAGAAGGGUAACAAUCAUUAUAUAAAAACAGCUUCCUAUAAUCUUAAUUUGGGAGGAUGGGUGGGUGCAAGUAACCCUUUCUUCACUUCUUGGAUUGAUGGAUUAAAAAAAAUGCACAGAUUAUCAAUCUGUUUCCCACUCUUUCAGCAGCUUCAACUGUUUUGUUUGUUUGUUUGUUUGUUUGUUUGUUUUAAGUAAAAUUCCAAACUCUGGGUUGUCUAAUGGCAGCUAUAACUCUGAAAGCAAAGAUUUGUCCAAAGCUAAUGGGGAUAUGAAAAUAUCUGAUGUUGCUGUAUUGAGCAGAAUACUACCUAUCUACACCAGUAUCCCCAGAGUCAGCUGAAUAAACUUCUAUAUUCAUGACUUGUCCAUAUUUAAUUUUUAAAAAAAGACAAUACCAUGGACCCUGAAAUAGGUAAAUGUAUAAGAAUCAAAAAGAAAAUUGUUGAUGCCUAUGCCAAAACAGUGUAAAAUUUUACUGCUAAAGCCAAAUAUUAAUGUGUUUCACUCUG